rnacentral:rRNA from 1 species
GAAGUAAAAAGUCGUAACAAGGUUUCCGUAGGUGAACCUGCGGAAGGAUCAUUAUUGAAUAAACUUGGUGCAUUGUAGCUGGCUCUUUGGAGCAUGUGCACAUGUGCUUUUGUUCUUUUCCACCUGUGCACCCAUUGUAGAUCUUGGAUACCUCUCGAGGAAACUCGGUUUGAGAGUUGCUGGUCUCUUUUUUGAAAUCAGCUUCUCUUAUAUUUCCAGUCUAUCUUUUCAUAUACCCUAUAGUAUGUUUUAGAAUGUUUGUAAUGGGCUUGGUUGCCUUUAACAUUAAUACAACUUUCAACAACGGAUCUCUUGGCUCUCGCAUCGAUGAAGAACGCAGCGAAAUGCGAUAAGUAAUGUGAAUUGCAGAAUUCAGUGAAUCAUCGAAUCUUUGAACGCACCUUGCGCUCCUUGGUAUUCCGAGGAGCAUGCCUGUUUGAGUGUCAUUAAAUUCUCAACCUUUCUAACUUUGACCAAGUUGGUUAGGUUUGGAUUGUGGGGGUUGCUGGCUUUUCAUAGUCAGCUCCUCUUAAAUAUAUUAGCAGAACCUUUGUGGACUGUCUCUAGUGUGAUAAUUAUCUACGCUAUUGUACAUGACACAUCUAAGUUCAGCUUAUAAUAGUCUAUUAGCUUGGACAAAUUUUGACCUUUUGACCCCAAUCAGGUAGGACUACCGCUGAACU